GAUGAACGCUGGCGGUGUGCCUAAUACAUGCAAGUCGAGCGAACAGACGAGGAGCUUGUUCCUUUGACGUUAGCGGCGGACGGGUGAGUAACAAGUGGAUAACCUACUUAUAAGACUGGGAUAAUUUCGGGAAACCGCAGCUAAUACCGGAUAACAUGUUGAACCGCAUGGAUCAACAGUGAAAGACGGUUUUGCUGUCACUGAUAGAUGGAUCCGCGUCGCAUUAGCUAGUUGGUAAGGUAACGGCUUACCAAGGCGACGAUGCGUAGCCGACCUGAGAGGGUGAUCGGCCACACUGGAACUGAGACACGGGCCAGACUCCUACGGGAGGCAGCAGUAGGGAAUCUUGGUCAAUGGGCGAAAGCCUGACGGAGCAACGCCGCGUGGGUGAAGAAGGUCUUCGGGUCGUAAAACUCUGUUAUUAGGAAAGAAAAAAAGUAUGAGUAUCUAUGCAUGUCUUGACGGUACCCAAUGAAAAAGCCACGGCUAACUACGUG
rnacentral:rRNA from 1 species